ensembl:miRNA
GUCCCAGGCACGAGGCGGCGAACUCCCCCAAAGGCAGAGAUUUUGGCACCUGCGUCCUCGGCUGCUGGGUCCGGCCCCAAGCAGGCACGCGGCCCGCAGGUGCCGGGCGAAUGUCGGCGGAAAGCACUAUGCUCACAGGGAAGGA